UGUGACAGGUAACCACAACUGUGUGACAGGUAACCACAGGUGCUGUGUCAUGUAACCACAACUGUGUGACAGGUAACCACAGGUGCUGUGACAGGUAACCACAGCUGUGUGACAGGUAACCACAGCUGUGUGACAGGUAGCCACAGCUGUGUGACAGGUAACCACAGCUGUGUGACAAGUAGCCACAGCUGUGUGACAGGUAACCACAGCUGUGUGACAGGUAGCCACAGGUGUGUGACAGGUAGCCACAGCUGUGUGACAGGUAGCCACAGCUGUGUGACAGGUAACCACAGCUGUGUGACAGGUGAACACAGGUGUGUGG